UGGCUCAGGACGAACGCUGGCGGCGUGCUUAACACAUGCAAGUCGAACGCUGAAGCACUGCAGCUUGCUGGGUGUGGAUGAGUGGCGAACGGGUGAGUAACACGUGAGUAACCUGCCCUUUACUUCGGGAUAAGCUUGGGAAACUGGGUCUAAUACCGGAUAUUCUGCGUGAUCGUAUGGUUGUGUAGGAAAGAUUUUUUGGUAAGGGAUGGGCUCGCGGCCUAUCAGUUUGUUGGUGGGGUGAUGGCCUACCAAGACGACGACGGGUAGCCGGCCUGAGAGGGCGACCGGCCACACUGGGACUGAGACACGGCCCAGACUCCUACGGGAGGCAGCAGUGGGGAAUAUUGCACAAUGGGGGAAACCCUGAUGCAGCGACGCCGCGUGGGGGAUGACGGCCUUCGGGUUGUAAACCUCUUUCAGUAGGGAAGAAGCGUAAGUGACGGUACCUGCAGAAGAAGUACCGGCUAACUACGUGCCAGCAGCCGCGGUAAUACGUAGGGUACUAGCGUUGUCCGGAAUUAUUGGGCGUAAAGAGCUCGUAGGUGGUUUGUCGCGUCUGCUGUGGAAACGUGCCGCUUAACGGUGCGCGUGCAGUGGGUACGGGCGGACUAGAGUGCAGUAGGGGAGUCUGGAAUUCCUGGUGUAGCGGUGAAAUGCGCAGAUAUCAGGAGGAACACCGGUGGCGAAGGCGGGACUCUGGGCUGUUACUGACGCUGAGGAGCGAAAGCAUGGGGAGCGAACAGGAUUAGAUACCCUGGUAGUCCAUGCCGUAAACGUUGGGCACUAGGUGUGGGGUCCAUUCCACGGAUUCUGCGCCGUAGCUAACGCAUUAAGUGCCCCGCCUGGGGAGUACGGCCGCAAGGCUAAAACUCAAAGGAAUUGACGGGGGCCCGCACAAGCGGCGGAGCAUGCGGAUUAAUUCGAUGCAACGCGAAGAACCUUACCAAGGCUUGACAUGCACUGGAUCGCUGCAGAGAUGUGGUUUUCUUUUUGACUGGUGUACAGGUGGU
rnacentral:rRNA from 1 species